ensembl:snRNA U6 U6 spliceosomal RNA
GUGCCCGCUUGGGCAGCACAUAUCCUAAAAUAGAAAGCGUACAGAGAAGAGUAGCAUGGCCCCUGCCCAAGGAUGACAUGCAAAUUUAAAGCCACUUGUAUUUUU